UACGAGGGGGGCAAGCGUUGUUCGGAAUUAUUGGGCGUAAAGGGUGCGUAGGCGGCCUUGUAAGUCAGUGCUGAAAUAUCCCGGCUUAACCGGGAGGGUGGCAUUGAUACUGCAGGGCUUGAGUAAAGUUGAGGUUGGCGGAAUUGACGGUGUAGCGGUGAAAUGCUUAGAUAUCGUCAAGAACACCGAUAGUGAAGACAGCUAACUAAGCUUUAACUGACGCUGAGGCACGAAAGUGUGGGGAUCAAACAGG
rnacentral:rRNA from 1 species